CUCACUUUGGCAUGACAUAUAUUAGAAGUGGAACAAUACAGAGCAGAUUAUCAUGCCCCCUUUGCAAGGAUGACAAGCAAAUUCGUGAAGCGUUCCAUUUUUAG